CUCCAGAGUCAUCUGGGUCCAGUGACCAAAUAUAGAUCAAGACAACUGGAGAUGGCCCUGGAUGAAAUGGAAGAUCUUGGUCUUUUAAGCUAAUGUCUUCAACAGGUCACAAUUUUAUUGAGGCCGCACCCAUUCAGUGAUAAGACUAUCUUUCAUCUAGUCCAAAAAAAUCUAAAUAAAUAAAUGAAUGACUGAAUGAAUCUGGGAAGGGAAGACCCUCAGAGUUUCUGGCCAAAGCAGAAAUGACUGCUGUUUACAUUCAAUUUGAAUUCCUACUAAAUUUUGGAAUAUCUCUUUCAUUAUUCCCUGGUUAAAUACUUCCUUCUAACAAGAUUAGAGUGCCCUUGCUUCUAUUGUUAUUGAUUUCAAAAACAAAUUAUCAAGCUAUUCAAUUUUUUGAAAAUGGAAGAGGAAGAAAAAAAGAGGAAGGGGAGAGAAAGUGAUGAAAAGGAAGAUGGGAAAAGAGGAGGAAAAGAAGAAAGAAGGAAGAAAAUAGUGUACAAGUGAUGGAUAAGACCCACAAGUAUAAAACUAGGAUACACUCUCAUAAUCAGAAGCUGGCAAUGUAAACAUAAAAAUGGAGAUUGCUAAAGUCUGUAUCAUUCUGAUUUUUCUCUCAACUGUUUUGAACCAUCUGUCACACACCAUUUUGUAGUUGACAAUUUAACCAUAAUUCCUGGCAGUGGAAAUAUCAUACUCAAGUCAGGCAUGCCAUAUCUUGAGGAACUUUUUCUAGUUCUAAGGAUAGGAAAUGAACUUUUUUCUGGUUCUCAAGAAUCAUGUCUGCAAAGUCUGAAGAUAGAAAAUGCAAAGGACUUUCAAAAUCCAAACACAGAAUCACCAAAUCUUAACAUUGAAAGAGACUUUAGCAAUCAUCUAGAUCAAACUUUCACCCAGUUCUCUGCAGUUUGAAGAAAAUGCUACUUCACUGGCUACCUCCCAUUUGGGAGUAAAACAAAACCUCUUCUAUUUUUCUAUAAUAAUCCUCAAUUUGAAAUUGAUUAUAAUAGAAAAAAAUAAUGAUUUCUGAAUUACCAAGAGUAUAGGGUUCACUGUGAUCUGCCAUUAUCAAAGUCUGUAGCCAUUAUUGAUUCUUGGAAGGAAUCUCAUUGCUAACCCUGGAUGUCAGGACAUUUCAGUCCUGAAUGAAUAAACCUUCAUAUUAACAUUAGUGAGUCAACAACCUGGACUUAUCCACAAAUUAUCCUGACCUUCCACAAAAUUAGGAAAUGACCAAAUACUUCAAGGAACAUAUUAUAUUCAUUGGUAGUUUGUAAAUUCUGGCCAGGUUAAGGAUAUUCAUUGGAUUUCAUUGGAUGUCAUAAUUUCUGGACUCUUAGAGACAUAUUUGCUUUUUGUCUUUUGUCUCUUAAUCUGGUAGAAAUUCAAGUACAUAUAGAAAACUACAAGGAUAGAAGGAAUAUGACAGAUAUAAGAAUUAAUCCAAAUCUCAAGGACAAAGAUUAGAGCAGCUAGCUUUUACGGUCCUCCAUUUGCUGCUUUCCCCAUCCCUCUUCUAACUGAAUAUUAUCUCCUUUAAUAUAAGGCAGAGAUGUUGAAAGGAGAGAGGAAGAGCUGGGAAAUUAAUGUUGUAUAAUAGAUCUAAGACAUCCUCUCCCUUAACUAGUUUAGUGCCUCAAUGAUGACAAUAUUACUACAUUAGAUUGCUGUCAUGCUUUGUACAACAAUUCGUAUUAUUUCAGUUGAUCUUCAUGAUAAUUCUAUCAGCUUGGUGUUAUUAUUUACAUAUGAGAUAUGCAAAAAACAAAUUAAAGAGAAGUUAAUUAAUUUGCCCAAUUUGCCCAAGAUCUAGUUAGUAGAGUCAUAACAAGACUCUAAAUGUAAGGAGCAGCUAGGUGGCACAGUGGAUAGAGCACCAGUCCUGAAGUCAGGAAGACCCUAGUUCAAAUCUGAUCUCAAGAUACUUAACACUUCCUGGCUGGGUGGCCCUAGGCAAGUCACUUAACCCUAAUAGCCUCUGGGGAAAAAUAAUCUGGAUAUAAGUAUAUAUAUAUAUUUGUAUGUAUGUAUAUAAGUAGUGGAUUUUUAUAUAAGCAGUGGAUUGGAGCCAAGGGGAAAUGUACUAUUUUCUGGACUGAACUCUAACACUGCACUGGACAACUUCUAAAAUCCCUAACAUUCCAUAAUUCUGUGAUUUGAUAUAUAAUGUUAUCAUUUGAAAUGUUGAUCAUGAAUGAAAAUAGACAUAUUUGAUAUAAAACACAUGCUUAUAAUCAUUACAGCAGGACUAAAAGUCAAUCGGGCAUCUGCACUGUCUGUAACCACUGUGGUGAGCCCUCCAUGAGUAAAGGAUCACCAGGCUGCCUAAAGAGGGAUGAAAGGACCCAGGUUUGAAAUCGAAUGGGAUAGAGUUUCUACAGAAAGAAAGAGAGAAACAAAAAAAGAAAGAAACUACAUUUAUUAUGAAGAAUAUGAUCAUUACAUGUAUAACUGCUGCUAAUGCCUGAUGCCCAUAUUGACUUGCAAUAUUUAGCAUUUAAAUAUAAUAAAUCUCUUUCCCCCUUAAGGUAGAAAAUCUGCCCAAUCUUUAACAGACUUUUAAAAAGAAGGAAGAUCCUCAGAUCACAUUUGAAACAAAAAUGUACAUUGUCAUUUCUCUUACUAGAUGGAGCUAACCUCAGAAUUAUGAGUAAAGAGAUUUACAAAGCAUUGGACUGGUCUGAUAUUGAACAUGGUUGAACUGUAUAAAAAAGAAAGAAAAUUAGCCCUAAACUAAUUUGAUUUUUGAGGGAAAAGAACUGAAUUAUUGGUUUUUGGCUCCCUGUAGUCACUUGCCUCUUCUUUCUGAUUGGUUUCCACUUGGGAAUCGUCAUCAAUGGACAAAUGAAUGAUGAACUUAAUAUACUGGUGUCAGUAUUGGGAGAGAAAUCCACCCCAGAUGUUCAUAAGGACUCUUUGUGCCCAACCUAUGGCAGAACAUUCUGAGCUCAUAUUGAUCUGAUCAGCCUUAGGUAGGCACAUUGUCUGACUGUGACAUGACAUGACAAUGAUGUCAUUUGUUCCUCUUGGAGAAUUCAGGACAUCAACCAAUCUCUAUUCCUCCCCUCAGGCCUUUCCUAGGUCAUCAUACUUGCACUGACUAUGUUCUUCUGUUUUUCCCAUCUUGAUUCCUUGGUAAUCCAGUUUAAUUCUGUACUCUAUUAUACAAUUUAGAUUUUUACCUCAUUGUUCUAUUAUUAUUCAUACCCUGCCAAGCCCCAAUCUUAAAUUACUCCAACCAUUUACUACCUUUGCUCUUAUUCUCAUGUCCAUAAAUGGAGAGGGGGAACAUCAUAAAACUCUAUUGAUUGGGUACAACCCUAUUGAUUGGGUACACUAUAAAUUUGGGUACAAUAUGAAUAUAAUAGCAACCAAGACCUCACAGAAGCAAAACAAUCAUUUUACAUCUCCCUAAUUGAUUUACUAUUCCACUCAACACACCAGGUUCUCCAAACUUUCUCAUUCAUCCUUAGACCUGCCAUUGUCCCCUUUUUACCAACCCUCUCAGCUGAGAAUCUUGCCUUGAUUUUUCCUAAAAAAAAAAAAAAAAAAGUAAGGUCAUUAACUGAGAGUUCCCUUUUCUCUCCUUCUCAUCUCACUUCACUCAAAACCUUCUGCAACCAUUUCUUCUUUCCUCUGUCUCAUGUGAAGAGAUGGUCCUUCUUCUUACCAAAACUAAUAUCCCAAUAGGCACAAGUGAUCCCUUUCCUCCUUAUCAUCUUCUCCCUUUAUUAUUUCUAGUCUUUCAUCUAUCUUCAGUUUCCUCCUAUCAACUAUUUCCUUGCUACUUCUCAUCCCCAAAAGCUAUCAUCUUAAUAUCUCUCAUCUAUUUCACAGCUAAGGUCCUUGGAAAACUUCCUUUUAUUUACUCUUUUUUAACUCUCAUCAAUCUAGCUUCCCACUUCAUUAUUCAAUUGAACUCUUCCCUCCAAAGUUAUCAGUGAUCUCUUAACUGCCAAACCUAAUGAUCCUUUCUCAGUCUUCAUUCUUCUUGACUUCCCUUGCAGGGUUGGACACUGUCAAUGACCCUUCUUCUCAGAAAUAUUUUCUCCUCUCUAGAUUUUCAUGGAAGUACUAACUUCUGGUUCUUUUUACUUCAUUCAGGUUACUCGGAUUUGUGAGGAUCAAGUUAACAUCCUGGAUACUUUAGAAUCAGCCAGAGUCAGAAUAAGCAAAAGUCCUUGGUCUUUAUUCUUGGUCAAAAUGAGAGGAAUGGACAUAGGAAUCUCCACACCGCUCUUCUUCAUCUCCUGGCCAGAAGUCACUCUGGUUUGUCUUACUCCAUCCUCUAAUCCCCAAAUCUCUGUAUAUACCAACAGAUUGAGCCAGCAUAGAAUAGUGGGGUGGGCCAUUUUCCAAGCAUAUACUAAUAGAGUAUUGUCCAAUCAGUAGUUAGCCUUAAGUGCUUGGUUGUCUGACCUCAGUGCAUGAACUCAAGAGUUUCAUCCUUUUACACUGAUUAAUCAUGAAUGUCUCCU